rnacentral:tRNA from 1 species
GGAUUGUGGCUCAGCGGUAGAGCACUCGCCUAGCACAUGCGAGGCCCUGGGUUUGAUCCUCAGCACCA